rnacentral:rRNA from 1 species
AGCGUAGACGGAGUGGCAAGUCUGAUGUGAAAACCCGGGGCUCAACCCCGGAACUGCAUUGGAAACUGUCAAUCUAGAGUACCGGAGAGGUAAGCGGAAUUCCUAGUGUAGCGGUGAAAUGCGUAGAUAUUAGGAGGAACACCAGUGGCGAAGGCGGCUUACUGGACGGUAACUGACGUUGAGGCUCGAAAGCGUGGGGAGCAAACA